rnacentral:rRNA from 1 species
GACAGAGGGUGCAAACGUUGUUCGGAAUUACUGGGCGUAAAGCGCGUGUAGGCUGCUCUGCAAGUCGGAUGUGAAAGCCCUGGGCUCAACCUAGGAAGUGCACUCGAAACUGCAGAGCUUGAGUCUCGGAGAGGAUCGCGGAAUUCUCGGUGUAGAGGUGAAAUUCGUAGAUAUCGAGAGGAACACCUGCGGCGAAGGCGGGUUGCUGGGCUGACACUGACGCUGAGGCGCGAAAGCUAGGGGAGCGAACGGG